CGCAGCCGCGGUAAUUCCAGCCCCAAUAGCGUAUAUUAAAGUUGUUGCAGUUAAAAAGCUCGUAGUUGAAUUUCGGGGUCAGUAGGUUGGUCGUGCCACUGGUAUGCACUGGUCUCACUGAUUCCUCCUUCCUGAUGAACCGUAAUGCCAUUAAUUUGGUGUUGCGGGGAAUCUGGACUGUUACUUUGAAAAAAUUAGAGUGUUUAAAGCAGGCUAACGCUUGGAUACAUUAGCAUGGAAUAAUGAAAUAGGACGUUCGACCCUAUUUUGUUGGUUUCUAGGAUUGACGUAAUGAUUAAUAGGGAUAGUUGGGGGCAUUAGUAUUCAAUUGUCAGAGGUGAAAUUCUUGGAUUUAUUGAAGACUAACUACUGCGAAAGCAUUUGCCAAGGAUGGUUUCAUUAAUCAAGAACGAAAGUUAGGGGAUCGAAGACGAUCAGAUACCGUCGUAGUCUUAACCAUAAACUAUGCCGACUAGGGAUCGGAUGAUGUUAAUUUUUUAAUGACUCAUUCGGCGCCUUA
rnacentral:rRNA from 1 species